rnacentral:lncRNA from 1 species
GCAGAAGCAACCGGCCUCCAUGCCUCUUCCGCAGGAGAAACUGACCGCCAUACCCAAGCAAGUGUGGUAUCCAGCUCAAAUGUCCCAGCAGCAACUGGCCUCCAUGCCUCUACCGCAGAAGCAACUGACCCCCGUGCCUCAGCAAUUAUGGCAUGUAGCUCAAAUGCCCCAGAAGCAACUUGCCCCAAUGUCUCAGCAGAAGCACUAUGAAAGCACUGAAGAUGGUGUCUCUGGUAGCUCUCAGGCCAGCAUUGUUGAACAGUUGGGUGUCAUCCCAAUCUAUUCCUACAGUUCCAAAUCGCACUACGAGAAGGGCAGAACUGUCUUCUCCCAAACCCGCUACACUCCUAGGGAGGCUAUGCCUGUUGACAGUGGAAAUGCUCCCAAGGACAGUUAUGUUGGCAUUGGUGCACCAAGCAUACAUCCAUCACUAGUGAAGGAUUCUGCAAGGGAAAUGUAACGGAGUCAUCCUCUAGAAGCUCUAAUGGAAGUUGCUGGUGCUCUAGCGUGAUGGAAUCAAUAAACAAUUUUAUUUUCA